ensembl:lincRNA Gm5118 predicted gene 5118
UCAGCACAGGCGGAGAGGAAUGGCUGGUCUGAGUCCUCCGAGAAACAACUGCAGACAUCCCCUGAUUUAUCACCCAACUGGGCCCCUAGGGUGCCACCCUGACCUUCAGAAUGGAGCAGAGGGAUAGAACACAGGACUGGCUGCCCUCUGGAAGACCUCCAUUGGUCCUUGAUGGUUGGAUAAAGGAACUGGGUAGAAAGUCCUUCCCUGCCCUUUGCUUUGGAGAAGAUGAGGAUAGCGAGUUGGGUGUGCACCCCAGGAUCCCUGGUGGACUGAUGGACAACAUGGGCCCCAGGCUUUGUGAGGAGCACUUAACACUAGAGCAGAGAAAAGCUAAUGGCUGGGUGAGUGCUGAUCUUCCCAGGAUCUAGUCUUAAAGCCUAAAGAUUUCUCCAGACAGGAAGGCCCAGCUCUCAGCAUCCUGCCCCAAGGAGAUACCAUUGUAGGUGGCCCAUGAAGGCUCUGGGUGAUUCUUUUUUGGAUCGGCAGUUUCUUGAGUUAGUUAUUAUCCCUUGCAGUGUUGGAGAAUGAGGGACCUGUGGUUCUGAUAGAAGAUUCUAGAGAUGGGCACUCUUGACUCCAAAAUUACCCUGUGACCCCAGGCAGCAGAUAAAAAGAAUCUGAAAACUAAAUUCUCAAUGAUCAAUCCAGGGCCUUGAGAAUGGUGGGAGGUUAUGAAGUGGACUCAUAAAUAAAAUAAAAUCUCCUUCUCAUAGGACUCCCAGGAUCUCUCAGUUUUUGAAAGGUUUUUGCCUCGAAGAGAAGUGGGACCAAGAAAGACAGUUCUUCCUUCUUGGUUCCCCACAUUAAAGUUCCUCCCUUCACACACACACACGACACACACAUGAACUCAUACACUUGCACAGAAUCUUUCUGUCUAACCAAGAUUGGCAUUGACUGCUUCUUGCCUCUGACUCUCAAGUGCUGGAAUAGCUGGCAUGUACCCUUGCACUCGUAUCUUUCAUUUUGUGACUUACCGUGUGGUUGCUGGGAAUUGAACUCAAGACCUCUGGAAUAGCAGACAGUGCUCUUAGCCACUGAGCCCUCUCUCAGCCCCAUAUCUUUUGCUUUUAACUGAAAAAUUGUGCUUGUGGAUGUCUAGGGGGUACCAAAGGCUGCUAGGAUUUGACUACAGUACAGGAUAGUUUAAUCAAGGCUAUUACCAUAGUUGUCUCAAAUUUCUAAAAAAGUUUUGACCAGAACAUUUGAAAUUCAAAUUAAAACAUUCAACAUUUUGCUAAAUUUACCAUGCUUUGUAAUUGAUCUGAAAACAAACAAACAAACAAACAAACAAACAAAGAAGGGAACCACAACUUGCUCCUGUUUGAUGUUGCACUCUGGGACUGCUGCCUCCUCUCCUCCCCCAGCCUCUGGCACCUUCCUCUCUGCUUCUGUGAGUACAGCUGUAGAAAUCAGAAUAGAAAGUGCGUUCUUCUGUGUUGGGCUUAUUUCAUGCAGACAAAGUCCUCUAGCCCCAUCUAUAUGGUUGCAAAUGACAGAAUCUCUUCCCCAUUUUCAAAAAUGUUAUUAAUAUGUAUCUGCCAUACAAAGGAAUAGGUCUUAUUAUGUCAAGUAUUUUCAUCAUACUCACCCUUUUCUGCCCUCAUUAUGUCUGUUCCUUCUUUUCUCGAGGCACCUUCUUCCACUUUCACGAUGCUGACAGUGCCUUCGUGAACCCUCCUGUCCCUUCAUCCUCCCCUCAUUCAUUUGCUGGCUUGUUGUUUUUACAUAUUCAUGAGCACACACAAAUAUGUGUGUUUUAGCCAUGUUCAGGUCCCCUUCAUCCCUGUAUGUUUUUACUAUGUGUUCUAGGUCAUGAGUGAUCUCCACCUCAGGGGGUGCUUCCUCCAUUGAGAUGACAGAACCUCAGUCUGUCAUGUACUGUGACAUCUAGGAACACAGCCCAUUGCAACUCCAUGAAAGUCCUAGAUAUCCCAUCAAGAGUCUAUGGUUCUUUGGGUCAUCCAAUGGGAGGCCUGUAAGAUGGUCUGACCUCAAAGUGGGUCUUCUGCAGGCUGCAUAUAUGGGGAAAAUCAAAUCUUCAAUUCUUAUUUGCCUAUUGGCCUUGUAGGCAGCUGUGGGUUGAUUUUAGCUGUGGGUUGUCUAGGAAGCCCCAGGAUUAUGGAGACCCCAGAAAGAAUUUUACUUCUAUAGAUUUCUCAAAUCAGCCUACAGGAGACCAGCCCAAAGGGAAGUUUUUAAGGACC